GAUGAACGCUGGCGGCGUGCCUAAUACAUGCAAGUCGAGCGAACAGACGAGGAGCUUGCUCCUCUGACGUUAGCGGCGGACGGGUGAGUAACACGUGGAUAACCUACCUAUAAUACUGGGAUAACUUCGGGAAACCGGAGCUAAUACCGGAGAAUAUAUUGAACCACAUGGGGGAAUAGUGAAAGACGGUUUUGCUGGCACGUAUAGAUGGAUCCGCGCCGCAUUAGCGAGUUGGUAAGGUAACGGCUUACCAAGGCUACGAUGCGUGGCCGACGUGAGAGGGGGGUAGGCCACACUGGAACUGAGCCAGGGUCCAGACUCCUACGGGAGGGACCAGUAGGGAAUCUUCCGCAAUGGGCGAAAGCUUGACGGAGCAACGCCGCGUGAGUGAUGAAGGUCUUCGGAUCGUAAAACUGUGUUAUUAGGGAAGAACAAAUGUGUAAGUAAAUAUGCACGUAUUGACGGUACCUAAUCAGAAAGCCACGGCUAACUACGUG
rnacentral:rRNA from 1 species